CUAUCACACUUCACUUACCCUGAAUAUUUCUCCUGGAAAGCAGUCUGCACAGGAGGAAGAAAGCACCCUGGGUGCUGAGGCUGUGGGGUGAGUUGGUGAGGAGCUGACCCUCUGGGUGUUCCACAGCCAGACUCCUUCAAGAGAGGCAAAGUGUCAGUUUGAACAGCCUCCUUCACCAGGAAACAGCAUCCAGCACUCACUCAGAGCACAGUGAGAGUUGAACAGAACACCAGCGUCAGCAAAGCCAGUCUUCUCUUGCUGUCCCAAGGGCUUGCAGUGAGUGUGGCCCCUGAGACCUGGCAUACAGGACAAUUGACUGCCUGGGAGAGCUCAGACAACUACUACAACGCGCAAUAGACAACAACCCAGUACAAGCUGUGCUUCCACAGGGGCGCUCCAUGACUGCACUCCCAUUGCUUGGCUCAAGGGUCUGCUCUGCCACCCCUGAAAGCUGAAUUCAGAGCAGGCUAGUGUCAAAAGAGGUGGUUUCAUCUUUCCUCAGUCACCUUUCAGCCUGCCACUGGCCCCACGCUGUUGUGGUGUCCCUCAAACUGGUACCAGUGCUCACAUGGCCGUGCGAUGAGCUGGAUCCCACAGUCUGUCUGCCUCAAAGCUGAACUUUAAUUUUGUAACUGCCAGUGACAGGUAAAUUUUCAGCAGCUGGCUGCACAAAGGAAGGGCUGGGCCAAGGGAAGAGUUAAAGAGGGUAAGGAGAAGCUGAUGAGGUCUACAGGA